GCGCCAGUAGUCUAAUGGUAGGACGUCGCCCUGCCACGGCGGCAAUUCGGGUUCGAAGAGUGCAUGAUGGCUUGGGAGUUAGAAGCAGGCCAUCUCUCGAAUCUCCCGACUGGCGCA
rnacentral:tRNA from 1 species